GCCUUAUUAGCUCAGCAGGUAGAGCACACGGCUGUUAACCGUGGGGUCGCAGGUUCGAGUCCUGCAUAAGGCG
rnacentral:tRNA from 2 species